UGGGUUGUACCGUGGCGGAGAUCUUUGUGGGCUAUACUCGGCCUUGUCUCAGGAUGGACCUGAGCCCUAGGACCAUGUCCCAGGACUACCUGACAUGAGGACUCCUUGCUGUCCCCAGUCCACCUGGCCAUGCUCCUGCUCCAGUUUCAACUGACCUGAGCCCUAGGACCGUGCCCCAGGACUACCUGACAUGAAGGCUCCUUGCUGUCCCCAGUCCACCUGACUGUGCUGCUGCUCCAGUUUCAACUGUUCUGCCUUAUUAUUAUUCGACCAUGCUGGUCAUUUAUGAACAUUUGAACAUCUUGGUCAUGUUCUGUUAUAAUCUCUACCCGGCACAGCCAGAAGAGGACUGGCCACCCCACAUAGCCCGGUUCCUCUCUAGGUUUCUUCCUAGGUUUUGGCCUUUCUAGGGAGUUUUUCCUAGCCACCGUGCUUUUACACCUGCAUUGUUUGCUGUUUGGGGUUUUAGGCUGGGUUUCUGUACAGCACUUUGAGAUAUCAGCUGAUGUACGAAGGGCUAUAUAAAUAAAUUUGAUUUUGAUUUGAUUUGA